UCACUAAGGAUAUCAGCUACAAAGGUUACACCUUGCCCAAAGAUUGGAUGGUUCAUGUCUAUAUGCCACCAAUCCACUUAGAUGACAGCAUUUACCCUAAUGCAGCAAAAUUUAAUCCAUCCAGAUUUGAAGUUCCAGCUAAAACUGGCACAUUUAUUCCAUUUGGCUAUGGAGAUAGAAUAUGCCCAGGAAGUGCAUUAAGUCUGUUAGAGCAAAUGAUUUUCAUACACAGGCUUAUCACAAAAUACAGAUGGGAGCCUGUCAAUCCAAACAGUAAAACAAGCUACUGGCCAAUGCCAUCCGUGAAAGAUG